AAAGGGUGCGUAGGCGGUUUAUUAAGUCAGUGGUGAAAGACGGUCGCUCAACGAUUGCAGUGCCAUUGAUACUGGUAGACUUGAGUGGGAUUGAGGUAGCUGGAAUGGAUAGUGUAGCGGUGAAAUGCAUAGAUAUUAUCCAGAACACCAAUUGCGUAGGCAAGUUACUAAGUCUCAACUGACGCUGAGGCACGAAAGUGUGGGUAUCAAACAGGAUUAGAUACCCCGGU
rnacentral:rRNA from 1 species